rnacentral:rRNA from 1 species
UACGAAGGGUGCAAACGUUGCUCGGAAUUAUUGGGCGUAAAGCGCACGUAGGCGGCUUGGCAAGUCGGAUGUGAAAUCCCUCGGCUCAACCAAGGAAGUGCAUCCGAAACUGCUGAGCUUGAGUACGAAAGAGGAUCGCGGAAUUCCCGGUGUAGAGGUGAAAUUCGUAGAUAUCUGGAGGAACACCGGUGGCGAAGGCGGCAUCCUGGACCAAUACUGACACUGAGGAGCGAAAGCCAGGGGAGCAAACGGG